GGGCUUGACAUCCCACGAACCUGGCUGAGAGGCUGGGGUGCCGAAAGGAACACAGAGACAGGUGCUGCAUGGCUGUCGUCAGCUCGUGUUGUGAGAUGUUGGGUUAAGUCCCGUAACGAACGCAACCCUUGUCCUUAGUUGCCAUCAGGUUAAGCUGGGCACUCUGCGGAGACUGCCGGUGACAAACCGGAGGAAGGUGGGGAUGACGUCAAGUCAGCAUGGCCUUUAUGUCCGGGGCUACACACGUGCUACAAUGGCCGAUACAAACCGCCGCAAACUCGCAAGGGUGAGCUAAUCGGAGAAAGUCGGUCUCAGUUCGGAUUGUAGGCUGCAACUCACCUGCAUGAAGUCGGAAUCGCUAGUAAUCGCGGAUCAGCACGCCGCGGUGAAUACGUUCCCGGGCCUUGUACACACCGCCCGUCACAUCACGAAAGCUGGCUGUACUCGAAGUCGCUGAG
rnacentral:rRNA from 1 species